GCUUACAGGAUAGCUCAGUUGUUGUAACAUGAGACUCAUACUCUCAGGGUCAUGGGUUCGAGCCCAACAUUGGGCA